rnacentral:lncRNA from 1 species
AUGAAUAUGCUUCAGUUUUACCUAUUAAUAAUUACUCUCUCAGUUUCAAUUUAGAUGACAUACUUUCUUUAUUAGUCCGUUCCAAAAAGAAUGACACAUUUCUACAAUUGAAAUUAAUUCAACUUUAAACUCUUCAUUUGAUCCAUUUUACCCUUAAUGAUAAGCUUUUAUAACCACACAAAUUUCAUGGCCCCACAAAGCUUUUAACCCUUAAGCUUUUAAGAUCACAAGUUUCAAAAGUUUUUUUUUUCUUUCUUAAACUUCAUGACGAGUCAAACUACCUCAUCUAAAUUGAAACGGAUGGAGUAUAAAAAAAUAGAGUGAGUCUUAUCAUAAUUAACGUUCUAUCCUGGACCGUUGGCCAGUCUAAGAAGACCAUCCAAACAUUGGAGGCUAUGCGAGAUAGUUCCUUGAUUUUCGAGGUUGUUGAAACAAUAUCUAUCUUGAGUAGAGUUGGCCUAUAGCAAGAAUUAUCAGGCGAGUAUAGGCAUGAGUAGUGGUGGCAAAAUGGAUUCCAUUCAUAUUAUCCGCUUAAAAAUGGGUUGAAUAAUGAAUUUUUAAAAAUGGGUCAAAUAUGGAUAAGAAUCAUAUUAUCCAUUUAAAAAAUGGAUAACAAAUGAGUUUGACUUUUACAUUUACAAAGAUUCAAAUUGGAGGUUUUAUAAGUUAGGGAGACUAGAAUUUCCCCUAAUUUCUCUCUCUUCGCAUGAUAGUAAACAUGCGCUGACUGUGUUUUCAUGGCGAAAGGCAGAGGAAGGGGACGAGGACGGGGUCGAGGUAGACCCAGGAAGAAUCCCAUAGCUAUCUACAGUAGCUCUGUGGGUGCUCGAAUUCAAGCUGAGGACAACAAGAAGGAGCAAUUAGAUACACCAGUGGUAGUGUAGGAAAUGGGGACAAGGAGUUGUGAAGCAGAAUCAUCAUCGACGAGUGCUAGAGUUAAGAAGAAGCUGGAUCUGAACACUCCUCCAACAACUAACAACAUUGAGGAGCCACAAAUUCAACAUGAAAGCAAGGAGCUACCAGGUUCAACCAAUGGAACAGUAAAUCUGGUACAUGCAGCUAAUAGUACUAUGACAGUGGAGAACAAUCAACCUGAGGAGGCAGCUACUAUGAAGACUAAGCCAUGGACAAAUUUGUUUUAGAGGAAUCGAGCAGUUGAAAAUGGUAUGUCGCUAGCUUACAUACCCCCACAACUCAUUGAUGGUCAUGUUGUAGUUCAAUUAGAUAAAGUGAAGGUAGAUCUGGAAACAAAGAAAUGGAAAAGUAUUGUAAUAGCUUAUAUAAUUGGGGAAACACUGGGUUAUAAUGCUAUGGAGAGAUUUGUUGGGAUAAAUUGGGCAAAUGUGGUGGAGCCUGAGCUGUACUUACAUGAUGAGAGUUGCUACAUCAUCAAAUUUCAAAAUGUAGAUGAUAUGAAAUAAAUUUACUACUUUGGGCCAUACACGUUUAAUAACAAACCUAUCAUCCUAAAGCCUUGGACACCUGAUUUUGAUUUUAAUGAGGAGUUUCCCACCGAAAUUCCUCUAUGGGUUCAAUUUCCUAAUCUACAUAUGAACUGUUGGGGUCAUGAUUCAUUAAGUUGAGGGGCUAGUGCAAUAGGUACUCCUAUCUAUGCAGAUGAGUGCACUGUAAAGAAAAGUAGAGUAUCGUUUGCAAGGAUGUUGAUAGAAGUGAAUAUCACUAAAGAAUUGCCUAUUGAGGUAAUAGUUAUGGACCUUAAUGGUAGAACAUUUGCAUAAUCAGUCAAGUAUGAUUGGAAACCUGAGUUCUGUCAUAAAUGUUUAGUGGUUGGGCACAAAUAUGGUAUGGAACAACAACAAAAUAAGCAGCAAUAGAAGCAACAAGGCAAGAGAAGAGAGCCUAAGAAGGUCACUAUGGAAUUGAGGUGCAAAGGACCAAUGAAAGGUGGAGAUAAUCAGGCUAAUCAACCAGAGGAUAAAAAUCAACAACAAAGGCAAGAUGUUCCACAGUAGCAAGGUCAACAAGGAUUAUAGGAUAGAGAGAACAUGUAACUAAGGGAUACUCAGGAACCAGUUCAGAAGGGUAAUGUUCAGACACCUCUUCAAUGGCAUAGACAGAUUGUGUAGUCAACACUAGAUAAAGGCAAAGCUACAGAAACUAGGAUUGAUCUAGAUCUGGUAAACUUUUCAGCAUUAUCAGCCAUAACAAUGAGGAAUGCCUUUGAUCCAUUAGAAAGGGAAAAUUGGAGUACUAGCACCUUACCACCUAACAAAGGUAUGGGUAGACUAACUUGCUAAUGAAGUGGUUAUUCUGGAACAUUAGAGGGGUAAAUAAGAGAUAUAAAUAAAAGGAGUUAAAAAAAGUAUAUCAGAGAAUAAAACUAGCAGUUAUAGUUGAAACAAGGGUUAACAAACAUAAUGCUAGUAGGAUCAUGCUAAGAGUAACUCCAGGGUGGAACUCUGUUACAAAUUAUCAGUAUGCUUCAAAUGGGAGAGUGUGGUUUACCUAGGAUCCCCAAUGGUAAACUGUUACUUUACUAAGUGUUGCAGCUCAGUUUAUUCAUUGUUUGGUGCAGGAGAUGGGGUGGUAGAAUGUGAAGUUACAGCUAUAUAUGGAUAUAAUACUGUAGAGCAAAGAAAUCAAUUAUGGGAUGGACUAAAGGGUCUAGCAGUAGGAAUUACCAAACCUUACCUACUGUGUGGGAUUUCAAUGUUGUGUUGUACUUUAAGGAUAGAUUUAUGGUAAUCCUAUCACUUAUACCGAAGUCCAAGAUUUUUCUGAGUGUGUGACUUAUUUAGCCCUAAAUGAGUUGACAUGGAUAGGAGAGUACUAUACAUGGUCAAACAAACAGUAUGGUGCAGACAGGAUAAGCAGCAGGAUUGGUAGAACAUUUGGUAACUAUCAAUGGAUGAUGCAGUGGGGUCAUGUGAUUACUUAGUAUGGUCUUCUAUGUAUUUCUGAUCAUAGCUCCAUGCUACUCACUCUUUUCUCAGCCUCAAAACUUGGCAAAAUACCUUUCAGAUUCUUCAACAUAUGGGUUGAGCAUGACAGUUUUGCUACAAUUGUGGAAAAAGUUUGGAAACAGUCUCAUGCUACUUACAAGAUGAAGAACAUUUGGUUGAAGUUUAAGGCACUAAGGCCAUUGUUCAGAACUCUGAAUAAUGAACAACUUUGAACCAUUAGUAUGAAGAUUGAACAGGCAAGAGUGAACUUAGAAGAUGUACAAAGAAAAAUCAUUGCAGCAUGUAAUGAUUCACUGCUUGAAGAAGAAAAGAAUAUAGUACAGAAUUUAGAAAAGUGGUCCCUUAUGGAAGAAAGUGCAUUGAAGUAGAAGGCAAGAGCAAAAUGGAUUAGACUGCGAGAUUUAAACACUAAGUACUUUACAGCAAUCAUGAAAGAAAGAAGCCAAAAGAAACAGUUAAAUGAGCUUAUUGCACUCACAGGUAAUAAAGCAAGAAGUUGUUGGAUUCUACAAAUCUCUAAUGGGAUCAGCAACUCAUUCCUCCCUUCUAUAAAUAGAUUGAUUAUGAGAAAUGGUCCAGUUUUAUCACAACAACAAAAGAUUGCUCUUAGUGCUGAGGUAACUGACAGAGAGAUUUAUGUUGGGUUGUGUGCUAUUGAUAAUGAUAAAGCACCAAGAAUUGAUGGAUACAAUGCCUAUUUCUUUAAGAAGGCAUGGGUGAUCAUUAAGGAUGAAGUUAUUCAAGUUGUCAAAGAGUUCUUUGAUACUGGGAAACUAUAUAAAGUUGUAAACUGUACUACACUCACACUGGUGCCUAAAAUGCCUAAUCAUAGCACAAUAAAAGAUUACAGACCAAUUUCCUGUUGCACCAUGCUCUAUAAGCUGAUAUCUAAAGUGCUAGCAGCCAGAAUACAUCAAGUUAUUGCAUAUGUCAUCUGUUAGGCACAAGUUGGCUUCAUCCAUGGUAGGAGAAUUGCUGAUAACAUCAUACUAGCACAUGAAUUAGUGAAAGAUUACACAAGGAGGAAUAUUUCUGACAGAUGAUGAUUAAAAUUGAUCUUCAAAAAGCUUAUGACUCAGUUGAAUGGAGUUCUCUGGAGCAAGUCAUGAUUGAGAUGGGAUUCCCUAUGAGGUUUGUGAUAUGGAUAAUGCUAUGUGUUACCACAGUUAACUACACUAUCAUGCUUAAUGGAGAACCCACCCCACCUUUUGAUGCUGCUAAAGGUUUGAGACAAGGAGACCCCAUCUUCCCUUUCUUGUUUGCAAUAGUAAUGGAGUAUCUCAGUAGAAGCCUUAAUAAUCUAAAAGAGGUAAACGGUUUCAGAUUUCAUCCAAUAUGUGCAAAGCUAGGAAUUAUACACCUCAGCUAUGCAGAUGAUCUUCUAUUGUUUGCCAGAGGUGAUUUAUCUUUUAUCUCUCAUAUUCAUGUAUGUUUCGAUCAUUUCUCUCAUGUUACUGGAUUACAAGCCAAUUUGAGGAAAAGCUCAGUGUACUUUGGGGGAGUUCCUCAGAAUGUCAGAGUGGAGAUUAUACAGAAGUUGGGCUUCACAGUUUGAGAACUACCUUUCAAGUAUCUUGGUAUUCCUCUUGCUACCAAGAAGCUCUCUUUGAUACAAUGGUAUCCUUUGGUAGAGAAGAUAGUUGCAAAGAUCUCUUCAUGGACAGCAAAUAAACUGUCAUAUGCUGGAAGAGUUCAACUAGUUCAAACUGUCUUGUUUGGCAUUCAGUCUUACUGGUCAUAGAUGUUGAAUUUGCUUACAAAAGUCUUGAAAAUGACUUAGGCUUACUGCAGGAGCUAUAUUUGGUCUGGGUUAAAUACCAUCACAAAAAAGUCUUUAGUAGCAUGGAACAGAAUGGGUACACCUAAAUCAAGUAGGGGGCUAAGCUUGAUUAACUUGCAAUUGUGGAACAAGGCUGCACUAGCAAAAAUUUGCUGGGAUGUAGCACAUAAACAAGAUCGCUUAUGGAUCAAAUGGAUUCAUGCUUUUUAUAUAAAAGAUAAGCAGUUAGAAGAGAUGGCAAUCCCUCAACAAGCAAGUUGGAUGGUUAGGCAGAUUCUAAGUGCUAGAACAACUCUGCAGUAAGUGCAAUACAAGCAGCAUUUUAAAAAGAGUCUGAUCAGCCAGUUUUACUUCCAGCUAUUGGGAAAUAGACCAAGAGUUGCUUGGAAAUGUCUGAUGUUCCAAAACAAGGCUAGACCAAAUGCUAUAUUUACAAUGUGGCUGCAAUUGCAUGAAAGAUUAUUAACAGCUGAUAAACUGAUGCAAUAGGGUAUAACUAUGGACUCAAGAUGUUCUUUAAGUCAAAACCAUGAUGAAACUAGGGAACAUUUGUUUGUGGAAUGUCAAUUUGCAAAGGCAAGAUGUAGUUAGAGACAACUGGGAUCAACAUGUGCAGUGGGUGAUACAAUGUUCUAAAGGCGGGACUCAUGCAGCUCAAUUGUAUAGGAUGGUGUAUGCUGAGAUAACUCAUGUCAUGUGGAUCGAAAGGAACAUGAGGAUAUUUGAAAAAAGAAGCAUAGGAGUUGAUAGUUUGCACGAGAAGUAGCCUACAUAUGAAAUGUGAGAGCCACCACUGGGAUUAGUAGUUUAGUGCAACAUUUUAUGUUUUCUUAGAAACAAUUAUGUAGGUUUGGAUUUUCUGUAAGAUAUAGCUAUUGAGUUAUAAGCAGGCUAUGGAAUUGUAAAUGAUAUAUUGGUGAUUAAUAAAAUUGUUAGUUACCAACAAAAAAAAAAAGAAUUUCCCCCAAAAAAUGAUAUACAUGAAGCCAUGAAUAAUAUGAAUAUCCAUAUUAUCCGUCAAUUAACCGAUUUCUAUCCGUACUAAAUAUGGUUCAGGUAGGAUAAUUUAUUCGUUUUUUGUAUUUUUCAUUUUCGAUCUAUCCUUAUCCCAUCCAACACGCCUGUUUGCCACCCCUAGGCAUGAGGUACUAUUAGGCGUAAGUGUACGACUCCUCUAUAAUGAGAUAAAGAGGGAAAAGACAAAUUUUUUGACCAGAAUUUAUACAAGAAACCUCGUCUUUCAGUAUGAUUGGUAUAUAAUUAUAUUGUUGAUCUAUGCCCAAUCCACAAUCAACAAUGAGUGAAAACAUUCGUUGGACGAGGUCGAUUUCCCUAGGGAGUUAAAUAUGGGUGUUAGGGUAUACACUUGAUGAGCGUAGAUGAAAUAGCUCAAUUACAGUCCAAACAAGGGGGUUUUGUAAUUUACUUCUACAAUUGACGCUGGCAAUGAUUAACUAGAGAUAAGAAACUAGAAAAUAUAAUUAUUUUUGUUGUUUUUUAAAUAGGUAAAAGGCCUAGGGGUGUAACCUUCACCUAGAUGUUAGCCUAAUGGGUAUAUUAUGUUAAUGAUUGUUCUAGUAAUCGGGGUGUAUUAUAACUCUCAACUCUAAAUUAACCACUCAAUACCUCUCGGUCAUAGAGUGAUUCUGCCCAAAUUGUCUUUCUCAAGCCCAACUAGGUAUCGAUUCAAAUAGUUGAUACGAGCUCAAAUCAUCUUUUCCUUAUCUCUAGUUCAAACCCUUUAAUUAGGCUAGCCAAAACCUUAACUAGCCCAAUUUCUUGUUAGCCAAGUUUUCCUAGACUAAGUCCCUCUUUCUAAAGUAAGAAUCAAGUCAAAAAAAAGGCAUGAAUCAAUGUUUGCAACUAUUAAUUCUAGAAAUAAUGCACAAACAAAGCUAAAUAAUAAACACUCAAUCAUAAACAAGCAUUAUAUUAAUUACCUAUAAGAUUUACACACUAGGGUUGGGUCACAACUCUAGAGAAGAUCUAGCUACUCAUAAUAGAAAUUGAAGAAAAUAAAGAAGAAAUGCUAAUCAAAGCCAUAAUACAAGAUUAAAAUGAUAAACUAUUGUGCUUUUACCUCAAAUUGGUCACAAAUUACCAAAAGUAGUAAAUUAUAAUGGCUACAACUCAAAAAACUAUAUAACUUGCCCUAAAAAGUGUUUUCCAUCUAUUUAUAGUGGCCCAAAAUUUGCUAAUAAAAAUGCCCUUCAGGAGGUUCUGCGGCCGCACAAUUCUAUGUGCGGUCCACACUAUGCUUGGUUCUGCAGGUGAAGGAUUUCUACAGCCGCACAAUUUGAUCUGCGGCUACACUUCAGCUUCUACGGCCGCACUUUUCCUUCUGUGACUGCACUUUUUGCAAGGCUUCACACUUGGUCAUUUUGCACACUCUCUGAACUUUUUGAAUUCUUGUCAAUGCGAUCAUGUCUUGCGACCGCACAAAUUGUGUGCGGUUCACACUUGCUUCAAUCACAAUCUGAGCUUUAGCACCAGAUCUGCGACUGCAGAGGUAACUUUGCAGUCGCGCUUUAUUCUGCGGUCGUAUAAUUACUUCUGCGGACCGCAUUUUUGGUCUGCUGCACUCCUUUUCGCCUUAUGAGCCGGAACACUCCUUUUUUGAGUUAGAAUUUCAUUAAAGUCCAGUUCUCCAACAUUCCUGCAAUUUACACAAUUUUAUUAGUUUGGGGAAUAAAAAUCAACACUUUCAGACUAAAACUAAAGCAAAAAGGUACUAAUAUGUGGUUAAAAUUCACACUUAUUAACUCUCCCAAACUUAAGUCUUUGCUUGUCCUCAAGCAAAUAAAUUAGUUCUCAUCUCUUCAAAGUGAAAGGUCAUUUCAUAGAGUCAAUGAUAAGUCAUUCAUACUUAGUUGAGCCCAACAAUUACCCACAAUACUCAUGUAUUUUCAACAAGGUGACAAAUCAUAUAUUAUAGACAUAUAGUUCUAAUGUGACAUUUGAGCUUCAAGAAUUGACUUUACUUAUCAAGGACUCUUGCUCUAUCAUGUAGAUCAUGGUGGACUCCAAACUCUUCCUCCUCUACCUUCCAUUUGUCAAGCUCACUUCAAGAGUUAGCAUUCAAUUUUUAGAUCAAUGAAAGGUUCACUCUUCUCUCACAAAGGAAUGUCACAAGUAAGCCUUCAAGUACCAUAGGAUUGCCCCUCAUGUAGAUCACCACUAAUUUAAGCUAACUCGGUUCAAAAUCAAGUAGGACUUCUUUUGGGUUGUAAUGAAGGCUUUUGGGUUGGGGUAGAAUACCAUAUGGGUUAAGUGGUUACACUCUUCCUUAAGCACUCCACAUUUUCAUUUCUUGGCUCACAUUCACCAACUCUUAGAGGUAUUUUCUUUUUCUUGGGGGCUAGAGAGACUUGAAAUUACUCUUUCUUUUUCUCCCUUGAUGCUCAUUCUAGAUAUAGUUGCCUCUUUUAGAUUUCAUCAACCCUCCUUUUUAUUCUUUUUCUGGCAUUUUUUUUAUUUUUUUUCCUUUUCUUGCCUUCUCUUUGUAUAGAGAUCAUUUCUUUUCUCUUUUUGGUGCCUUGAUACCUCUUUUAAUUUCCUCAACUCUCCCCCCAAACUUAUGCCUGAUGCCACUUAUUUCUUAAGAGUAUUAAGGAAGGUUCGGGUGCCAAGAGAGGAUUACAACAAAACAGGUAAGGGUUCGUAACAUGGUUACCAAGUAAGAAAGACUAAAGGCUCAAAGGGGGUUGACUAGGGAUAACAACAUAUAGAAAUCUCAAACGUGUCUUCCAAACCAAGCAAACUUACGAUUUCGCCUUGAAGCACAUUUGAGGCAAGUUCUAGGCCAUUUGUGCAGAUACUUGGACUAGCAAUGAAAAUUCACCUCACCCCUCAUGCAACUAGACCAUAAAAAGGAUAGAUUUUAGAGCCUACAAUAACCACAAUCAAGUUUAAGAUCACUAUGGUCCAAUAAAUCACUCAAUGAUUAUCAAAGUCAACUUAAGAGUCUCAAAGUCACUAACUAGAGAUAUUUUCUUUCAAAAACCUUAUUUCAAACCAUAAGCAUGCAGUUAAGUGUGUUGGUGUCAAAUGAAGUAUGAAUAACUGUUUUUAGAGAAUGACUUGAUUAGGGCUUUUAUUCAUUACUACUACUAUUAUUAUUACCUAAAUACAAAAAUAGACCCAUUCCCUUAAGAAGGUUGUCACACCAUCCAUCCUCGGAAAGAGUCACCCCGUUCAAACAAAAGACUACCUUUGGAAAGAACCGUGACAUUAAGAAAACCAUAGGCUUAUUAUCUAUACUACUACGAAAAACAUCAAAGCUACUAACAUAAAAAGAAGCUACUAAUAAAACAAAAUCAAAGUAAACAAUUAAAGAAGCUAAUGAAAGCAAUAACUAACUAAAGAUAGAUAAACUAAAAAGAAACAAAAUUAUCCAAUUAUUACAGUCCAAAUGUGCCAAAUGCAUCAAAAAAAAUCCAUUCCCCCCUCCACCAAAUAAAAAUAAGCAUUGUCCCCAAUGCUUAACAAAAUAAGGUUGAAAAGAGAGAGGGCGAAGAAACUCCCUAAGCAUCCUUGGACAUCUCAGUGUCCCCAACAGCAUCAACUCUUGUUGGCUUAGCCAACUAUAUCUCAUUGUCAUCAUAUAUGGGAGUGUCGGGAGUGGCAAACAUUGCACACACUAUAUCAGCAGUAUCGGUAGCAAGGCAUGGCUCAUCAGACUGGCCAACUAGUGCAAUCUGUGCAGAUGGAUCUGGGGCGGGCUGGUCUGGAUCAAGUAGCAUGUCAAAUGGUAAAUCUUUAGUUGUUGCUAGUCUAGUCACCUCCUUCCUAAGCUUAUCUACUAACUUCUUGCUGGCCUAGGACUUUCUCAUCUUUUUCAUUUCUUUAGUCAAGUCCUCAAUAAUUGAACCAUGUUGUACCAGAGUGUCCAUGAUCAUAUUCUAGUUGUCCAAAAUCUUGCACAGCUUCUCAUCAAGCUCAAUAGAAUCCUGCAGUGCCUGUGUGGAUGACUGUCCUGCAACAGUACUAGAUAUCUUAGACAACUUUGAAGUAGUUGCCUAUAUCCAGUUGUUGAGACUCGCCAAUAUCUGGGAGACUCGCAGAGCAGAAAGUGGGGUUGUAGGCAUGGGCACCAGCCUCAAAACUGGAGUAGGGGCUGCCCUAGGGCUGUGGUAGGAGCUGAAGAUAGUGGCAGAGGCAUAUUAGCUACACUAGUAAAGGGCUCAGCUGAUGUAGAUGGAAUAUCAGUUGUGUCAGAAACUACCACUACCGGCUCAUCAAACUGGCCUGUAGUAGUAGAAGGUUGAGCGCUCUUCUUCGAGUAGGUCGGAUCCUACAGCGAGUACCACUCAAACGAAUUUUUUGGUUUCACCUUUGUAUCAUAUGUCUUUGGCUCUACCUUUGCAUCAGUAAGGUACUAUGUGAUAGUGUUCGGGUAUGGGUAGGCCGUGUUAGUCUACUGUGCUACCAAUGCGAUGUUGGCUGACAUCACGACAGCCACAUUGAUUGGGUACCUGGCCAUGAUAGAAGCCACUAGAACUGCACAUGGAAUAGGUAAGUUGUUCUCAUUCUGGUACGGGUCACGUCUGCUACACACAAAGGUCUGCAACCUUUUGUCUCAAGCAUAAUGUGCUCCGUUGGACUCGGUGGAGGUGGUCCCGAUAGUGCUAAGAUAUCAGUUAGCCAUGACUGGAACUCUUCUUUCAAGGUCAACUUCUCGAGGUACUCUUUCGGCUCCAAGUCCUCAAAACCCAAGUACACGUUGAGCAUGUAUUGAUCAAUCCUCACCUUGAGGUUGCGUACUUUGGUCACCUUUGUCCCCUUGCGAAAGUGUAAAAUAUUGGCAUAGAACUCGCGGACAAGGUGCUUAUUGGCAUCUACUACCUUCUCAGUGAACAACAUCUAUCCCUUUCUCGAUCUGAACUGCCUCAACGCUGCAGGGUUGUAUCUAAAGGUGUUAACCAGAUGGGCUGGCCCGAGAUGGACACAAAAAAAAUAGCCUAUCUGGUUAUUAUUUCGGGCUAUUAGUGGGUUGGGUUUCCGUGCUGGUAGUGGAUUGGGAUUUUUCGGGUUUUGGUGGGCUCGUCCGUGUUCGGGCUUAAUAGGGCCGGAUCGGGCCAGAUAUCUUUUUUUUAAGUAUAUUUUAUUUUUCUUAUUUAAUGUUAUUGAUACUUAAGUGUUUGCAAACUUUUAAGGCUUAAAAUUAAACUUUUAAACUUAAAAAUUUAAAGUUUUAAAUUUGAAAUUUGAAUUAUAAAAUAUGAAAAUUGAUAUUUAGUGGCUACAUAAAAUUAUUUAAUAAGACCAAUAUGUAAGGAUCAAACUUUAAAGACUUUCAUUUCAUAUUUUCAUAGCAUAAUAAUACUUCAAAUUAACUUGUCUAAUACACUAACACAUUAAGCUUAAAUAAGUCUAACAAAUUCAAAAUAACACAAAUUCUCUCAAAUCAACUUAAAAUACGAAUUGAUGGAGGACACUCAAUACAACCUUGCUAUUCCUCCUUAAACCAGUUGUGCCUUUCCCCCUUUCGACGAACAUUAAAAGCUAGACCACGGUUCUUGCACUGAACUUUGCAAACUUCUUCAUUUUCUUCUACCACCUCAAAGUGUUCCCAAACAUGUGAGCGCACUCUAGAAGCAUGGGGCAUGAUUUAACUUGAACCUAAAAAAAAUGGUAACCGCACUUCACUUGAUAAUUGUAAUAUUGUAGUGGCUACCAUAAAUAAUUGAUAAACCUAAAAUAUUAAUUAAUUGAUAACUUCAGAGCAAUAAGAAAUUCAAUAAUCAAAAGGGACUUGAGAGAGAAUUCAAGUAGAAGAAGAGAGCAAGUUGUGGAAAAAAAUGAAGAAGAAGGGGGCUAUUUAUAGUUAUUAAAAUGCUAAGAAUGUAAUUUAUCAAUUAUUAGGGUAUGAAGGGUCUAUUUUAGUAAGAAGAUAGGCCUAAAUGGCUAAAAGUGCAGAAAAUGUCCGUUGCCCAACGGUCAUUUUUUAUUUUGACUAUUGGCAAUGGUCAAAAUUUAAAAAUAAAAAUAAAAAAUUACAACAUAAACUGGGAUGGACCGGGCUGGAAGGGUUAGUAGGCUAGCCGGGUUCCAAUACACUGGUAGCAAAAAAAAGGCCCGACCUCGUCCAACACAAUCCCCUAACGGCCUAACCUAGCCGAUCCGUCCCACCCCUUACCGAACCAGGCUGAACCGGGUCGAACCGGGUUAUUAGUGGGUCGGGCCGACCUGAUUAACACCCUUAGUUGUAUCUAUCCAGAUCCUCCAACAAAACUGCCUCUCAUAUGUCAAUGAUCUCAUCGGCCACCACAUCCGAAAAUCAGCGAAAGCAGCCAAACUCACAAAUCUAUCUUUCCAUAUUUCCUUCUUCUUUGACCUCUCAACACUAGUGGAUGUACCCUCUCCCCUUUUAUUAUCAUCAAGAACAUCUUGAACAUUCUGCGCAUCUGACUCUGAAGUAGAUGUUGGCUCGAAGCCUGGCUAGCACUUUCCAAACCCUCGGAAGUGCUAUGAGAUGAUGAAGCCAUAUCCAUGGCUCAGAUCGCCCUUGUGGCUUGGACUGUGUAGUUACUUGCUCCUCUGGAAUAGACACAGAGUUGCUCUCGGAAGCCUCUCUAGACGGGACAUAAGAAUUAGACUCAGAGAGGUCUGCACCCAUCCCUCUGUCUGAUGUGGUCUUCUUCCGAAUGGUUUUGAGCACACUGAGGGGCAAGGUACCUCUGCCUCGACCCUUAGAAGAGUCUCCUCUAUCUUUGGCAGUUUUGUCGCGGCCUCAUGAUCGAUACAUUGUCUAUAUCAAAAUAAAGUGGAUUGUUAGUUGCAAGUCGUCAUUCAACAUAGUUAAGACUCAUGUAGGCAAGGGAGAACAUUAUGGACAUAGUAGGGUUGCUACAGAUUAACAUGCUGCAGGAAAAUGGGAACUGCGGUCCGCACUUUCUGAUGGGCGGCUACAGAAAGGAGUACAGACCGCACAAUUUCAUGUGUGCUCACGCUUCGAACAAAAAAGAUCAGAGGCUCAAGUUCCUCUUCUUUGAAGACAGUACGACAGCCAAAGUGCGGCCGCAGAAUUCAUCUCCGGUUCGCGGAAUUAUAAGUGCGGUCCGCACUUUUUAUUUUCUAAGAGACAAGUCUCUGAUAUCAGUGCGGACCCAACCUCACUAGGAAUUAUGCAGUUCGCACAAUUAGAGUGCGGCAGCAGAAUGCACUUGCCUUCACCUGUUACCAAAAUCAACCAACUGCAAACCGCACAAGUUCAAAUGCGGCCAUAGAAUUCAAAAAAUUACGAGUAGUCUAUGGUUUUACUAAGAUUUUUGCAAUUACUUGUUCAAAUCUAUAUGGAAACAUGGUAUACACAUAAAUUAAACUAACCCAACCCAUUUUAGCAUGUAUGAAUAACUACCCAGUAAAGAUCCACCCCGCAUGGACACAUGGAUGAACUCAAUAAUAGAUGGCCUAAAAAAACUAAAAUUUCAAAAAUUAAACUAACACAAAGAUUAACAUGAAGUGAAGCAUAUAGACUAGGUGUGUAAGCACGUGUAGGUUUGUAUGGUUGACAAUGAAAAUUUCUCAGUAAAGCUUGUAGAGCAACAGUGAAUCUCAAGAAGGUGAAAAGUGUAAAAUGAGGCCAAAAGUCCUAUUUAUACUUUGAGUGAAUGAGGGAAAAAAGGGCUGAGUGCGGCCGCACAAUUCCAAGUGCGGUCCACACUCCUUCACCUGGGCAGUAAUGCUCUAUACCAUUCGUGUGGUAUGCACAAUUUUGAAUGCGGCCGCAUAAUUCCUCUUGCGAUCGCAGAAUAGCUCCGCACCGAUAGCCUCAAACUUCAGAGAGUUUGCAUUUUUGACACUUUGUCGAGCUUCCAAUUGUGUGGUGCACAUGUGAAAUGUGCGACCGUACAGGCUCAUCUGCUGUGGCACAAUUAAUUCUACUGUCAGCACAAUUAAAGUGCAAUCUGUAUUUCCUUUAACACUUAGCCAUUUUUAUGUCCACCCUUCUUGCAUGUAACACUCAACCCUAUAUCACGCUUCAAAUCAUGUUAGAACUACAAAUAAAACCUAACUACAAAAUAAAAAGAAAAAGAACAUGUGUUGCCUCCCAAAAAGCACCUUAUUUAACGUCGAGGCACGAUGUAAUGUCAAAGCAUUUUCAAAUGAAGUAAAUGACCGCUGCCACGUGGCUAUCUCCAACCUUUACCAAGUAGUACUUCACCCGGCGACCAUUGACUCGGAAUACUUCAUUGUUCUUGUUCUUCAAAUCUAAUGCACUGAAAGAUGUCACAUCAAUAAUUUCAAACGGACCACUCCACUUGGAUUUUAGCUUUCCGGAAAACAUCCUCAACCUAGAGUUAAACAAUAAUACAAGAUCGCCCACCUUUAACCCUUUGUUCCAAAUGUAUUUGUCAUGAAGAUAUUUGAUCUUUUCUUUGUACAAGGACGAACUCUCAUAUGCAAGGUACCGGAACUCAUCUAAUUCAUUCAAGUAUGCAACCCGCAAGUUAGCGGCUAUAUCCCAAUCAAGGUUCAAUUUCUUUAAAGUCCACAUUACCUUAUGCUCUAGGUCUGCCGAAAGAUGACAAGCUUUCUCGAACACUAACCGGUAUGAAGACAUUCUGAUAGGUGUUUUGCAAGCCGUCCGAUAAGCCCAUAAUGCAUCAUCAAGUUUCUUGGACCAAUCCGUCCGAUUAGCAUUCACCAUUUCAAACAAGAUACUCUUUAUCUGUCGGUUGGAGACUUCCCCUUGCCUACUAGCUUGUGGGUGAUAGAGAGUCGUAACCUUGUGACUAACACCAUACUUACCAAGUAAAGUGUCAAAAGCUUUGUUGCAAAAGUGUGACCGCCCAUCGCUUAUGAUUGCAUGUAGUGUACCAAAUCAUGUAAAAAUAUUCUUCUUCAAGAAAGCCACUACACUUCUCGCCUCAUUGUUGGGCAAUGUUAUGGCCUCAACUCAUUUGGACACAUAAUCCACUACGACCAAUAUGUAAGUGUUUCCACAAGAACUCACAAAAGGGGCCCAUAAAGUCAAUGCCCCAAACAUCGAAAUUAUCAAUUUCCAAGAUGAUUGUGAGAGGCAUCUCAUUUUUCUUUGAGAUUCCACCAACUUGUUGGCAUUCAUAACAUCUUUUCACUAAACUACUUGCAUCCUUAUAAAGAGUAGGCCAAUAGAAAUCACAACUAAGAAUUUUGGCCGUCGUUCUUGCUCCACUAUGAUAACUACCAUCUAGUGAAGAAUGACAAGCCCCAAGAAUAUCGCCUUGAUCUUCUUCCAGUACACACCUUCUAAUCAUCCCAUCCGUACAAAUCUGAAAAAUGUAUGGUUCAUCCCAAUAAUAAUUACAAUCUCUCUUGAGCUUCUUCCUUUGGUUUGAAGAUAACUUAUCCAGAACGAUUCCACUCACAAGAAAAUUUGCUAAGUCCGCAAACCAUGGAACCUCUUUCAUUGAAAUUGCCAAAAGUUGCUCAUUGGGGAAAGAUUUAUUGAGUUCAGGGCGGCCUCCCCUCCUCCCCCAAACGAUACAAGUAGUUCACCACUUGGUUUUCACUAUCUUUUCUAUCUUGGAUAUCACUAUCAAAUUCUUGCAACAAGAGUACCCUUCUCAUCAUUCAGACUUUAGAAUCCUUUUUGCUCAUAAGAUAGCGAAGUGUCGCAUGAUCUGUGUGGACAAUAACUUUGGCACCCAUCAAGUACGGGCGAAACUUCUCAAUUGCAAAUAAAAUAGCAAGGAGCUCUUUCUCCGUAGAGGUAUAAUAGACUUAGGCACUAUUCAUGGUCUUACUAGCAUAGUAAAUCGGAUGAAGAACUUUGUUGAUAAGUUGUCCCAAAACUUCCCUAACCGCUACGUCACUUGCAUCACACAUGAGUUCAAAAGGCAAACUUCAAUUUGGAGCUGUAAUGAUAGAAGUAGUUGUCAACUUGAGCUAUAACAGUUCAAAAGCCCUCAUACAAUCAUCAUUGAAAUUGAACUUGGCAUACUUCUCAAGGAGCUUACACAAUGGGUUCACCACUUUAGAGAAAUCUUUGAUAAAGCGCCGGUAAAAACUCGCAUGGCCUAGAAAACUCCGUACACCCUUCCCCAAAGUUGGGGUGGAAGCUUAGAAAUUACCUCAAUCUAUGCCUUGUAAACUUCAAUUCCACUCCUUGAUAUUUUAUGGCCAAGGACAAUAUCUUCCUCAACCAUGAAAUGACAUUUCUCCCAAUUGAGAACAAAGUUGGUCUCUUCACAUCUAGCCAACAUUUUGUCCAAAUUUGCAAGACAAUCAUCAAAAGAAUCCCCAACCACUGAGAAGUCAUCCAUGAAAACUUCAAGGUUGUCCUCUAUCAUGUACGUAAAAGUAGCCAUCAUACACCGUUGAAAAGUCAUCGGUGCAUUGCACAAACCAAAUAGCAUCCUCUUGAAAGCAAAAGUAUCAUAAGGACAUGUAAAGGUUGUUUUCUCUUGAUCUUCCGGAUCAAUGAGAAUUUGGUUGUAGCCUGAUUACCCAUAAAGAACACAAUAGAAAGCACGUACGGCCAAUCUAUCUAGCAUUUGAUCUAAGAAAAGAAGUGGAAAGUGAUCCUUCCUUGUAACUUUGUUGAGCUUGAGAUAAUCCAUAUAAACCCUCUAACCGGUCACCGUUCUUCUAGGAAUCAACUCAUUCUUAUCAUUGGUAACCACCGUCCUACCCCCUUCUUUGGGACACAUUGAACCGGAGAGGUCCAUGAAAUAUCUGAGAUGGGGUAGAUAACCCCAACAUCCAACCACUUGAUAAUCUCCUUCUUGACAACUUCUUGCGUAGCUUCAUUGAGUAUUCUUUGAUUUUUAAUGGACGGUUUAGCACCAUCCUCCAACUUGAUCUUAUGCAUGCAAACUUAUACCCCAAAUAUCUGCUAAAUUUCACCCAAUAGCCUUCUUCCUCUUUUGUAACAUCGCCAAUGUGGAAUCAACUUGCACGUUAGUUAAACAAGAGGAAAGAAUAAUCGGUAAAGUAGAACACGGGCCAAGAAAUUCAUACCUAAGGUGUGGAGGAAAUGGCUUCAACUCCAAAGUAGGUGGCACUUCAAUAGAAGGCUUUGUAGGAGGAGUCUUUAUAUUCUCAAGAUCCAAAUAUAAUUUCUGGGGUGCAUAGUUGUACGACCCUAUUCCUUGCAAAGAGUUCACACAUUCCAGGAAACCAUCCAUCUCGUCAUCACCAAAAUUGAGCAAAACGGCCUCCAACAUAUCGCCAGCAUUGAUUGUAGCACUUGUAUCAUCAAUAAUAACAUCGGUCACCAAGUCCACAAAAUAACACAUCUCAUUGCUAUUUGGUUUUUGUAUUGACUUACACACAUGGAAUACCACUAGUUCAUCACCAACCCGAAAAGUGAGUUCUCCGGUUUCCACACACAAAGAGCCUUACCCGUAUCAAGAAAAGGUUUCCCAAGAAUGAUAGGCACUUCAUAAUCAACUUCACAAUCUGGAAUAACAAAGUCCACCUGAAUAAUGAAAUUAUCAACCUGGACCAAAACGUAUUCAAUCACACCCAAUGGCCUCUUCAUGGUAUGAUCGGCCAUUUGCAACCUCAUAGAAGUGGGUCUUGGUUGCCCAAUUUUCAAAGUUUUGAAAACCGAAUAGGGCAUCAAAUUUAUACUUACCCCAAGAUCACAAAGAGCUUUAGCAAACUUGACACUUCUAAUUGUACAAAGAAUAGUGAAAGCACGGGGAUCCUCCAACUUAAGAGUCAUGGAAUGAACAAUUGCACUCAUUUGAUGAGUGACCUUAAUAGUUUCAAAAUUCAUUGACUGUUUCUUAGUCAUAAGAUCUUUCAUAAACUUUGUAUAACCGGGCAUUUGUUCCAAAGCUUAUACCAAUGACACAUUGAUUGAAAGACUCUUUAUCAUUUGAAUGAACUUAUUGAAUUGAUUCUCGCCAUUUUGCUUGGCAAGUCUUCGAAGGUAUGGAGGUGGAGGCUUAGGCAAUGGUGCCUUGGCAUUUUGCACUACCAGUUCUGGUAUGCCAAUGAUGUGUUCCCUAGACGGGUUCACCUCCUCUUGAGUCUAUUCAACACUAUCAUCAAUAUCAAUCCAAACUUCCUCAUUUGCUUGAAAAACAUUGUUUGGGAUCUCUUCUUCUAGCACCACUUGGUCAUCAUCGACAAGUCACCUUUCACUUGAGUCGGGUGCAUUCCCGCCUCUUUCACUUCUUGUGAUAACCGCCAUAGCAUGUAUCGUAUUGUUACCACCUUUUGGGUUCACUACCGUGUCACUUGGUAGUGCAACUUUUGGACGAGAAUUUAGAGUUUGAGAGAUUUGCCCCAUUUGAACUUCUAGAUUACGAAUUGACAUGUUGUGCGAGUCAAGUUGGGCAUUCGAAUCAACAUUCUUUUCCAUCAUUUGCUUGAAUAUAUUCUCAAUAUGUCUCAUCUCAUUGUUUGAAGAACUUGAAUCAUGGGAAGUAUAAGGAGGUGAGUUGCUUUGUUGUCGAUACAUUGGGGGACUUUUAAUACCUGACCCUUGGUUGCCUUGAUUGUUUCACCAACCACCUUGAUUGUUGCCUCCCCAAUUUCCUUAGUUGUUUCCACUCUAAUUUCCUCGAUUGUUGUUAUUAUGCCAAUUCCUUUGAUUGUUGAAACUCUAAUUGCCAUGGUUAUUUUGGUGGUCACCAUUGUUGUUGAUUAGAGCCUUAGAAAUUAUUUCUUUGCCCUUGAAAAGUGUUCACAUAUUGAACUUCCUCCUCUUGCUCAUGAUAAGGAUUAUCUUGAUCAAAACCGCCAUCAUCUUGCACAUAGUUCUCCACUCGGGUUUGCAUUUGUGGACCCUUGGUCCUCUUCUUGUUCACCAAAACAUUAAUUCCCUCUGUAGCAUGAACUUUCUUAGGAGCUUGUACUUGAUUGAGUUGGGCCUUUGCUAGUUGAGUCAUGGUUAUUAUCAAUUCGGCAAUGGCUUGCCCAUGGUAUUGAAACUCUUUAUAGAGGUGUAUCAUAUUCGAAUCACCUUGUGGAACAUUAGCUCGGGAUUCAAGCCGAUGACAUUUCCGCCAUCUCAUCUAGAAUGUCGCACGCCUCCGUAUAAGGCGUUGUCAUGAACUUGCCACCGACUAGUUGGUUCACUACACAUUGGUUGGUUGUGUUAAUCCCACGGUAGAAGGUUUGUUGCAACAUGUUCUCCGUCAUAUCGUUGUUAGGACAUUCCUUAACCAUGGUUCUAUAGUGUUUCUAAAUUCGUGUAGUGAUUCAUUCGAUUCUUGCUUUGAAUACCGAUAUUUCAUCCCGAAGGGUAGCCAUGUGCCUGGGAGAGAAUAACUUAGCAAUGAACUUGGCCGCUAACUCAUCCCAAGUGUGUAUUGAAUGGUUUAGAAAAUGUUCCAACCAAUCUAAAGCUUUACCCCGUAGAGAGAAGAGAAAAAGCCUUAGUCUCAAGGCAUCCUCGGAAAUAUUAGUUUGCUUGAUCCCCCAACUUGUAUCCACAAAGCCUUUCAAAUGUUUGUAAGAAUUUUGACUUGGCACACCAAAGAAAAAGCCUCAUUGCUCAAGCAAAGUGAGCAUCAUAUUGGUGAUUUGAAAGUUUCCCUCCUAAUACGGGAAGGGACUAUUACACUAGCAUAACUUUCGUUGGGCAAUAUCCGAUAUUGUGCUGCUUAUGGUUGAGGUGGUGGGGUGGGGGUGGUAUGGGCACGUUGUCUUAUGGCACCCAGCCUCGCCGAUUAGAUUGUGGCACUUGAUGUACCUCAUCGAGUUGUUCCUCCUCACUGUAUAAGUCCCCUAAAGGCAUAUUUUCAAACUCAUUGUUCGCCAUGUUUGUACCUAUGAUUUCUUCAACAAGUUAAUAGCACAGAAGGGAAAGAAGAUAUUUCAAAAGCACACUCAAAUAUAUAGCUAACACUAUUAAAACUCCCCGGCAACGGUGCCACAAAUUGAUCCACGCCCAAUCCACACUCAACAGUGAGUGGAAACAGUCGUUGGAAGAACAGUACCCAACAAUGAGUCGGGGUCGCUUUCCUCAGGGAGUUAAAUAUUGGUGUUAGGGUGUACACCUAAUGAGCGUAGAUGAAAUAGGUCAAUUACACUUCCAACCAAGGGGGUUUUGUCAUUUACUUCUACAAUUGACACUAGCAAUAAUUAACUAGAGAAAAGAAACUAGAAAAUGAGUAAUUAUUUUUUGUUGUUUUUCAAAUGGGUAAAAGGCCUAGGGAUGUAACCUUCAUCUAGGUGUUAGCCUAAUGGGUUAAUUAUGUUAAUGCUUAUUUUAGUGAUCAGGGUGUAUUAUAACUCUCAACUCUAAAUUAACCACUCAAUACAUCUCGGUCAAUGAGUGAUUUUGUCCAAAUUGGCUUUCUGAAGCCCAAUUGUGUAUCAAUUCAAUUAGUUGAUAUGAGCUCAAAUCGGAUUUUCUCUAUCUCUUAGUUCAAACCCUUUAAUUAGGCUAGCCAAAACCUUAACUAGCCCAAUUUUUUGUUAGCCAAGUUUUCCUAGACUAAGUCCCUUUUUCUCAAGUAAGAAUCAAGUCAAAAAAAAACAUGAAUCAAUGUUUGCAACCAUUAAUUCUAGAAAUAAUACAUGAACAAAGCUAAAUAAUAAACUCCCAAUCAUAAACAAGCAUUAGAUUAAUUACCAUAAAGUUUACACACUAGGGUUGAGUCACAACCCUAGAAAAUAUCUAACUACUCAUAAUAGGAAUCGAAGAAAAGAAAGAAGAAAUACUAAUUAAAGCUAUAUACAAGAUUAAAAUGAUAAACUAAUGUGUUUUCACUCCAAAUUGGUACAAAUUAUAAAAAGUAGUAUAUUAUAACAGCUAUAGCUCAAAAAACUAUAUAACUUGCCCUAAAAAGUGUUUUCCGUCUAUUUAUAGUGGCCCAAAAUUCGCUAACAAAAAUGUCCUUCGGGAGGUUCCUCGGCCGUACAAUUCCAUGUGCGGUCCGCACUUUGCUUGGUUCUGCAGGUGAAGAAUUUCUGCAGCCGCACAAUUUGAUCUGCGCCUGCACUUUAGUUUCUACGGCCGCACUUUUCCUUCUGCGGCUGCACUUUUGGCAAGGCUUCACUCUUGGUCGUUUUGCACACUCUCUGAACUUUUUGAAAUCUUGUCAGUGCGGCCAUAUUUUGCGACCGCACAAAUUGUGUGCGAUUCGCACUUGCGUCAAUCAUCAUCUAUGCUUCAGCACCAGAUCUGCGGCAAUAGAGAUAAUUCUGUUGUUUGUCCUUUCUUCUGUGGUCUCAUAAUUACUUCUGCGGACCGCACUUUUGGUCUGCUGAUAAGUAGAGAUUUAAGCCUAUUAUUUGCUCUUUUUUACUUAGGUUAUGGGUCAAAAAUGCGUGAAGGUAUUUCCGGAAACUAACUUAAUGUGCUUGUUUGUAGGGUUUGUUCAAAAUGAGCCAAAGAAACCAUAAUCAACUCAUAAAGGAGUCAAAAUUGAACAAAUCCAAGUCUGGGAUAAGAGCGUGGACCGUGACAUAAAAGUGCGACCACGUAAGGAUCAACGCUGAGGCGGCCAUAAUUUGCGAACUACGAAGUAGAGAUUCAGAGAAGUGGUUUUGGGCACAUGCAUGGGCACGGACAGGGACAAAAAGAUGCGGCCGCUAAAUUACUGGCGCGACUGCGAUUGGAAUUCCACUGACAGCAUGUGCUAAGGUUCAGAGACUUUGCAAGUCAUGCAAAAAUGAAGAAAACAGUUUGCGUCAAGAAUAUGCGGCCGCAAAAAUUGCCCACGCGGACGCGAUGAAAAAUACGCGGUCCACGAAACAAGUUUCAGCCCAGUUUCAGGUGUAAAGAGAUGCAGACCGCACUCAAUAUUACGCGGCCAAGAAAGCAAGAGUGAGGUCGCGGUCAGAAUUACGCUGUCGCGAAACCUCUGCAGGGGCAUUUUUAUCCGAAAAUUUCAGCCUAGUAUAAAUAGAUCUUUUCACAUUUUUAGGUUAUGUUAUGUUUUUGCUGAGCAUGGGAGAUAGUUAGGUUUUCCAUUUUGGGCAAUUUUGUACAAGAUUUACCUUAUAACAUUAGAUUUUCAUCUUUUAAUUUAGCAUUAUGAAUUUUAUCUUCUAUUUAUCUUUGAUUUAUGCUAUUUUCAUGAGUAGUUAAACCCAUAGCUAGGGUUGUGACCCAACCCUAGUGUGGGUAUUUGAUGGGUCUUGAUUUUUAGGGCUUGAAUGUGUAUGGGUUAGUGAUUUUUAGCCUAGUUCUUGCUAGAACUAUUGAAUUAGUUGUAACAAAUACUGAUUUAUGACCUUAUGACUUAGUCUCUACUUGAGAAAGAGGGACUAAGUCUAGAAAAACUAGGCUAACAAGGAAUUGGGGAAAACUCAAGAAAUUGAUAGCCCCAAUUAAAGGGUUAAACCUAGAGAUAGUAAUACCCAGCUUGAGCUAAAAUCACUUGAAUUGCAUGAAUACCCAUUUGGACUUGAGAAAGCCAAAUUUGGAAAAAUCACUCAAACUACCAAGAGGUAUAGAGUGAGUACCCGAGUGUGAUAGCUAUAUUACCACCCCGAUUGAUCAUAUGAUUGCCCUAUAUUCUUUCUACCCGUUAGAUAUCCACCUAGGCGGAAGUCACUACCGUAGUCCUUUUAAAUCUUUGAAAACAACUAACAAAAAUAUUGUACUUAGUUUCAAAUACUGCAUGCUAUAGAAUGGAAGUAGAAGUAGAAAACAGACCAACCAUUUGUGGAAGUGCAAUUAAGAGCCAAACCCGCAUCUCUACUUGGAUACAAACCUAACUCAAAACAAAUUAACUCCAUGUGGAUUCGAUCCCGACCUUGUUGGGUAAAACUACAUCUACCAUCCUUGCUACUCAAUAGUAGUGCAGGCUUGGACCAGAUCAAUUUUUGGAACCGUUGCCGGGAAGUUAAACGGUUUUAGCUAUAUCUCCGAGUAUUUGUGUGUUUUGUUUUUCUUUCCUUCUGUUUUUCUAAUUUGUUUGUGAAUUUCUUUUAGGUACCAAAUGGCUCUUAACAAUGAUGCCCUCAAAAAUUUUCCAUUGGGGGAGGAGGUAGAUGAUGAUAAUGUAGAUGAGAUUCAACCCGAACCUCAAGUACAAAGGAGAGGUCGACUGCCUCAUGAUAAUAUUCUAAACCCUCCCCCACGUCCAGCAAGGGCAACACACCAGGUGUUGCCCAAUGAAAGUUAUGCAAGUGCAAUAGUCCCGCCUCGGAUUUGGGCGGGCAACUUUCAAAUAACCAAUAUCAUGCUUACACUCUUGGAACAGAGGGGUUUCUUCGUCGGACUUCCACACCAAAACUCCUACAAGCAUCUCAAAUGUUUUGUUGAUACAUGCUGGGGGAGCAAGCAAACUAACGUUUCUGAGGGCGCGUUGAGGUUAAGGCUUUUCCCAUUUUCUCUAAGGGGAAAGCUUUGGAUUGGAUUGAAAGGUUACCCAAUCAUUCCAUCACCACUUGGAUGAGUUGGCCGAGAAAUUCAUAGCAAAGUUCUUCUCUUCGGGGCAUAUGGCGACGCUAAGAGAUGAGAUACUCGCUUUUAAAUAAGAGCCAAAUGAACCGCUUCAUGAGAUUUGGGAAAGGUAUCAGACGAUGGUUAAAGAAUGUUUGAAAAAUAAUAUGACCGUAGCCAUGAUCCAACAAACAUUUUACCGUAGCAUCAACAUUACCAACCAAUGUGUAGUUAACCAACUCGCUGGGGGAAACUUCAUGAACAUGCCUUAUGCUGAGGCAUGUGAAAUACUUGAUGAGAUUGCAGAUACUUCUUUGGCGUGGCAAGGUCGAGCUAAUAUGCCACAAGGUGAUCCCAAUGUCAUUCACCUACACAAGGAGCUCCACAACCACGACCAAGCAAUAGCCUAGUUAACUACUACAAUGAACCAAUUGGCCAAAGCUCAGUUGCAACAAGUUCAAGGGCCAAAACAAGUGAAUGCCAUGGAAGGGGUUAAAUAUGAUGGUCAACAAGAGGAGGCAAUGAAGUAAACAAGUUCAACGAAAUCCGGAUCAAUUUGAGCAAAGUGGUAGUGGUUACAAUCAAGAUGAUGUGUAUGAUGAUCAAAGUGAAGAGGUUCAAUAUGUAAACAACUACCAAGGUCAACGGUAAAAUGCUCUGAAUCAACAACAGUGGAUAUCCCAAGGAAAUUGGAGAAAUCAAAAUCAACAAGGAAAUUGGAAUAGUGGCAACAACAAAGACUAAAACAACUAUGGGAACAACAACCAAAAUUAGGGCAACCAAGGAAACCAAGGCAAUUGGGGUGGCAACAAUAAUACCAAUUGGGAAGGUAAUAACAACCAAGGGGGUUGGAACAACAAUAAUCAAGGGAAUCGGGGGUCGGACUUUCAAAGACCUUCGAUGUAUCAACAACCAAACAACCCUCCUCCAUAUCCAUCACAAGGUCCUAGCUCUUCCAAUAAUGAGAUGGGGCGAAUAGAGACAAUGUUUGAGCAAAUAAUAAAGAAAAACGCCGACUCCGAUGCCCAAUUGGCCUCCCACAAGUUCAUACUUUUCGCAAAUUUUGUGAUACUUGACUAUGAGGUUGACUAUNNNNNNNNNNNNNNNNNNNNNNNNNNNNNNNNNNNNNNNNNNNNNNNNNNNNNNNNNNNNNNNNNNNNNNNNNNNNNNNNNNNNNNNNNNNNNNNNNNNNNNNNNNNNNNNNNNNNNNNNNNNNNNNNNNNNNNNNNNNNNNNNNNNNNNNNNNNNNNNNNNNNNNNNNNNNNNNNNNNNNNNNNNNNNNNNNNNNNNNNNNNNNNNNNNNNNNNNNNNNNNNNNNNNNNNNNNNNNNNNNNNNNNNNNNNNNNNNNNNNNNNNNNNNNNNNNNNNNNNNNNNNNNNNNNNNNNNNNNNNNNNNNNNNNNNNNNNNNNNNNNNNNNNNNNNNNNNNNNNNNNNNNNNNNNNNNNNNNNNNNNNNNNNNNNNNNNNNGUCGUGUUCCAUGUUUGCAAGUCAAUGAGGCAGCCCAAUAGCAACGAAGUAUGUUCAUUUGUGGAUCUUGUGACCCGAAAUGAUUGUUGAAGACAGAAGUGUUGUGAUUAAUGUAGAAGACCCAUUGGAAGCUGUGUUGUUGAAUUAUGAUGUGGAUGAGAAGGAAGGCUUGGUUGAAUAUGUCAAUGCUUUACAAGGAAUGGAUUCAUAUACAUAUGAGCCCCGGAAACUUUCCUUGAACCUUGAGAACCGGAAGACUCCACUAACAAAGCCCUCAAUCGAGGAGCCUGCCACAUUAGAGUUGAAUCCUUUGCCUUCAUACCUCGGGUAUGAGUUCUUAGGCCCUUGUUCCACUUUACAUGUUAUUCUUUCUUCAUGCUUAACUAACGUGCAGGUAGAUGCCACCUUUGCAAUGCUCCAAAGAAGGAAGAAGGCAAUUGGAUGGACUUUGGCUGACAUUCAAGGUAUAAGCCUUGCCUUUUGCAUGCACAAAAGUAUACUAGAGGAUGAUGCCAAACCCUCCGUGAAACAUCAAAAGAGGUUGAAAGAGGCUAUCUAAGAGGUCGUCAAGAAGGAAGUUAUCAAGUGGCUAGAUGUAGGGGUUGUGUACCCCAUUUCGGAUAGUUUAUGGACUUUGCCGGUACAAUACGUGGUGAAGAAGGGGUUAUGACUGUGGUCAAAAAUGAGAAAAAUGAGGUGAUCCCCACUAGGAUUGUCACCAGAUGGAGGGUAUGUAUGGAUCACCAAAAGCUAAACAAAGUGACCCGAAAAGACCAUUUUCCAUUGCCCUUUCUUGAUCAAAUGUUGGAUAGACUUGUUGGGCGUGCCUACUAUAGCUUUUUAGAUGGGUACUCAGGAUACAACCAGAUUCCGAUUGCACUGGAAGACCAAGACAAAACCACAUUCACAUGUCUGUAUGACACAUUUGUAUUCUCAAGGAUGCUAUUUGGUUUGUGUAAUGCACCAACCACCUUUCAGCGGUGUAUGAUGGCAAUAUUUACGGAUAUAGUGGAGGACUUCCUCAAAGUGUUCAUGGAUGAUUUUUCUGUUGUGGGAUAUUCUUUUGAUGAGUGUUUGGGCAAUCUUAAUAAAGUUUUGGCACGUUGUGAAGAGACUAACUUGGUGCUUAAUUGGGAGAAGUGACACUUUAUGGUUGAAGAGGGAAUUGUCCUUGGCCAUAAGAUCUCCAAGAAUAGUAUUGGAGUGGAUAAAGCAAAAAUUUAAGUGAUAUCAAAAAUCCCUCCUACUUCCGUCAAAAGAGUGAGGAGCUUUUUAGGGCGUGAGGGGUUUUACCAUCGGUUCAUCAAGGAUUUCUCAAAGGUGGUGAACCCCUUGUGCAAGUUGUUGGAAAAAGAUGCAAAAUUUGUAUUCAAUGAUGAUUGCAUGAAAGUUUUUAAGCUACUCAAGUAAAGGUUGACUACCACUCCCAUCAUUACCGCACCAAAUUGGAGCUUACCAUUUGAGCUCAUGUGUGAUGCUAGCGAUGUAGUGGUAGGAGCGGUAUUAGGUUAAAGAAUCAACAAGAUAUUCCAUCUGGUCUACUAUGCUAGUAAGACCAUGAAUGACGCCCAAGUCAACUAUACGGUGACCGAGAAAGAACUCUUAGACAUUAUCUUUGCUAUGGAAAAGUUCCACCCGUACCUCAUGGGUGCCAAAGUGAUUAUUCAUACCGAUCACGCAGCGCUUCGCUAUUUGAUGAGUAAGAAGGACUCAAAGGCUAGAUUGAUGAGGUGGGUAAUUCUUCUACAAGAGUUUGAUCUUGAAAUCAUAGACUGAAAAGGGAGUGAGAAUCAAAUGGCGGACCACUUGUCCCGUUUGGAAGAGGAGGGAAGGCCCCAUGAUGUCCUUGAGAUCAAUGAUUCAUUUCCGGAUGAACAACUCCUUUCCAACUCUUUAACCGGGAUGCCUUGGUUUGCCGAUGUGGCUAACUAUCUUGUGAGUGGAAUUGUACCGAAUGAGUUCUCUUCAAACCAAAGGAAGAAGCUCAAACGGGACUGCUUGGAUUACUAUUGGGACGAGCCAUAUCUUUUCAAAAUUUGCACCAAUAGUGUUAUCUGGAGAUGUGUUCCAGAAGAAGAGCAAUUGGGUAUUCUUGAGGCUUGUCAUUCCUCACCUUAUGGUGGUCACCAUGGAGGGGCUAGAACUGCUACAAUGGAUUCUAAUGGACUACUUUGUACAAACAUGCUAGCGAGUUUGUUAAGCGGUAUGAUGAGUGCCAAAGAGCCGGUGGGAUUUCCAAGAAGAAUGAGAUGCCCUCACCACCAUCCUUUAGAUUGAUAUUUUUGAUGUAUGGAGCAUCGACUUUAUGGGUCCAUUUGUGAGUUCAUGUGGGAACACUUAUAUUCUUGUUGUUGUGGAUUACGUCUUAAAAUGGGUUAAAGCUGUGGCUUUGCCCAACAAUGAAGCACGGAGUGUGGUGGCUUUCUUAAAGAAAAACAAUAUUCAUAAGGUUCGGCACUCCAAGGNNNNNNNNNNNNNNNNNNNNNNNNNNNNNNNNNNNNNNNNNNNNNNNNNNNNNNNNNNNNNNNNNNNNNNNNNNNNNNNNNNNNNNNNNNNNNNNNNNNNNNNNNNNNNNNNNNNNNNNNNNNNNNNNNNNNNNNNNNNNNNNNNNNNNNNNNNNNNNNNNNNNNNNNNNNNNNNNNNNNNNNNNNNNNNNNNNNNNNNNNNNNNNNNNNNNNNNNNNNNNNNNNNNNNNNNNNNNNNNNNNNNNNNNNNNNNNNNNNNNNNNNNNNNNNNNNNNNNNNNNNNNNNNNNNNNNNNNNNNNNNNNNNNNNNNNNNNNNNNNNNNNNNNNNNNNNNNNNNNNNNNNNNNNNNNNNNNNNNNNNNNNNNNNNNNNNNNNNNNNNNNNNNNNNNNNNNNNNNNNNNNNNNNNNNNNNNNNNNNNNNNNNNNNNNNNNNNNNNNNNNNNNNNNNNNNNNNNNNNNNNNNNNNNNNNNNNNNNNNNNNNNNNNNNNNNNNNNNNNNNNNNNNNNNNNNNNNNNNNNNNNNNNNNNNNNNNNNNNNNNNNNNNNNNNNNNNNNNNNNNNNNNNNNNNNNNNNNNNNNNNNNNNNNNNNNNNNNNNNNNNNNNNNNNNNNNNNNNNNNNNNNNNNNNNNNNNNNNNNNNNNNNNNNNNNNNNNNNNNNNNNNNNNNNNNNNNNNNNNNNNNNNNNNNNNNNNNNNNNNNNNNNNNNNNNNNNNNNNNNNNNNNNNNNNNNNNNNNNNNNNNNNNNNNNNNNNNNNNNNNNNNNNNNNNNNNNNNNNNNNNNNNNNNNNNNNNNNNNNNNNNNNNNNNNNNNNNNNNNNNNNNNNNNNNNNNNNNNNNNNNNNNNNNNNNNNNNNNNNNNNNNNNNNNNNNNNNNNNNNNNNNNNNNNGUUGAGGUCUCCAACAGGGAGAUCAAGAGUAUUCUUUCCAAGACUAUCAAUGCAAAUCAGACUGAUUGGUCAAGGAAACUUGACGAUGCUCUAUGGGCCUAUAGAACAGCUUACAAGGCUCCAAUUGGUAUAUCCCCAUAUCGGUUGGUAUUCGGGAAAGUAUGUCACCUCCAGGUGGAAUUAGAGUAUAAGGCCAUGUGGGUGUUGAAGAAGUUGAACUUAGAGUGGGAUGUAGCUGCAAAUCUUCGAUUGGAGCAAUUGAAUGAACUUGAUGAGUUCUGGUUCCAUGCUUACUCCAGUUCGUCCUUGUAUAAGGACAAGAUGAAGUACCUACAUGAUAUGUAUAUCCGGAACAAAAAAUUCAAAGAAGGUGACCUUGUUCUCUUAUUCAACUCUCGGUUAAUGAUGUUUCCGGGAAAGCUCAAGUCAAAAUGGAGCGGUCCCUUUGAAGUGGUGCAUAUGACUCAUUUUGGUGCUCUAGAUUUGAAAAACAAGAAUGAUGAGAUCUUUAGAGUCAAUAGGCACCGAGUGAAGCACUACCUUAGUAAGGUUGAUGAUGGCCACAUUGUGGCAUUGAUCCAUUUCAAGUGAAUGAUGGUAACAUACGUCGUGCCGCGACGUUAAAUCAUGCGCUUCUUGGGAGGCAGCCCAUGUGUUUUUUGUUUUUUUGAUUUUCUUCUUAGAUUAGGCAUUGUUAUGGACUAACUGGUUGUGAAGUAUAUAUAGGAAUUGGUUGUGCGGUGCAUCAUAUUGACAAAGGAAAAAUUUGGCUAAGUGUUGGAAGUUCGCGGACCGCGCCCACAAUUUCGCGGUCCGCGUGAGCAUUUCGCGACCGCAUCUUUUUGGCCGCGGAUGCAUAGUUGAAAAGAGCAAAAACCAACUCUCUGAAGUUGGACUGUCAAAUACUCUUCAGCUUUUGCGGCCGCGUCCAUUGUUUGGCGGUCCAAGGUGAAUUUCGCCGUCGCGCUCAAUAUUUUGCGGACCGCGAUCAGAUGCUUGAAGUUGUUCUUCAUCAGGUAACAAAACACGGACCGCGGUAUAAUUUUGUGACUGCAUUCAGGUAAUUCGUUGGGGUCCAUAUCUGUUAAGUAUAAAUAGGGGGUCCCUAAACCUUUUACAUUUUUCGAACCCUAAAAUUUCACCGAACAAAUAGCACUGUUCAUCUUAUCUGGUUUUCAAUCCCAUCUCUUUCGAAUCAAGCGUUGUUGUCUUGAUAAAAAUUCACAACUGGUAUGUUCAAAUCCAUAAAUUAAUUUUAUCUUCCUGUUUUCUUUUCUUUUUGUUUUAAUUUUUCUUUUCAAUUUUUAGUUAGAGUGAAAUACAGCCCUUAAUCUAAAAUUAUUAAUUAAUCAUAUGUGGCUAAUGUUUACAUGCCUAAUGGGGGAUAGGGUUAGUAACCUUGAUUACUAAUUGAACGGAUUGUAUGUACUUAGUGAAAAACCUAGGUUUAUUUGUUCAUCAGUGCCAGUAGCGUUAGAACUUCGUGGACGCAGUUAAUUUUUUGCGGUCCGCGGUAGGGUAUGCGGCCGCAUUCCUUUUUCGCGGUCCGCGAUACCCUACCUUUUCAGUUUGAGUUUUGGUAUAAGUUCGUGGUCCGCGGUUGAUUCUUUGCAGCCGCGUCCAUGAUUUCGUGGACCGCCUCUUGAACUUCAGAGAAGUCUGAUAACAGCUUUUGCGGCCGCGUCCACUUUUUCGCGGUCCGCGGUUGAUCAUUCCCGACCGCGUCUUCUUUUUCGCGGUUUGCGUUCAGCAAAGAUCAGAGAGUUAGUAUUCUGAACCUAACCUCUUUGCAGCCACGAUUACUUUUUUGCAGUCUGCAAUGUGCACUUCACGGCCACGUUCACUUUUUUGCGGUCCGCGGUGCCUGGUUCUGAGAAGCAGUUUCUACAUUUCAACUGCACUGGUUUAACAUAAGCUUGAAGCUUUAUUCCGACUGUAUUCCAUUGCUUUUUUGCUGCAGACAAUGGUCUGCUCCAGAGGUAGAGGCGAUACAUCUAAAGGGAGGGCAAAACCCUCCCGAGGCAAGGAUAAAGGAAAUACCAAGAUACCCCUACCAAUCCAAAAAUCAAUUGGCAAGAUGAGAGCUGCCCUCAAGGCUGCGGAUAGAGCCGCGGACCACUCAUACACUAGUGAGUAUGUCCCUUCCCAAGAAGCUUCGGAAGGAGACUUUGUGCCCACUCAUAUCCCCAUACAGUUCCAGGGGAAAUUUUAGUUACGAGAUGAACCUACACCCUCUUCUGAGUCGUCUGAUGGCUCAGAGGAAGGUGGUGAGGCUUCGACAUCAUCUUCCCCACCUACUACAACUUUGGCCUCACCAGCUGCCCCUAUUGAUGUUGAUGAUGCCGACGUCCCAGAUGAUGGGAGAGGGGGUGAUACUAAUGUUGGGGGUUUGGCCAGAUCCAAAAAAAGCCGAGGUAUGGGCUGAUAGAUUUGUGAGCGAAUUAGGUUAUCAAAAGUUUCGAGAAUGGUGGCCCUAAAGGUCAUUCACCCAUGAGAGACAAUUUAUAAAAAGAGACUUCCUUCCCCACAAUCCAAAUGUCAAGAGGCAGUUUAAGGGUAGAAUAGGGUGGAAGUUCUUUACCAGCAAAGUUUCGGAUGCCAAUGAAUAUCUUGUCAAAGAAUUCUAUGCAAACGUUGCCCACAUCAUAAAGGGCACCACUGUGACAAAGGUCCGGAACUUAAAGAUCCGAUUUGAUGGCCACACGUUGAAUGAAUAUGCUAGUUUUGAGGAUGUGGAAGAAGUGCAAUACUUGAAGAAGUUGGCACUUGAUGAAGCAGCCCGUCCAUAGUUGGCAGAGAUAUUAUCCCUAGGGACGACACCGGCAUGGCUUAUAGUUGGAGUCCCAAUAUACAGAAACACCCCCAGCUUUGAAGCCAAGGGGUGGUCCACUUUUGUGUGCAGCCGGCUGGAUCCGUGUCAGUAUGAAAAUGUCCUCCCAUUCACCCGGUGUGUCUUGAUAGCCUCCAUCAUGGCGGGGUAACCUAUCAACAUGGGGAACCUCAUGCACUAUCACAUCACAAAGGCAGUUGGAAAGGAAGAAAAAUCCUACCCUAAUUUCCUCACCAUGUAUUUCGAGGACCAAAGAGUUGAGAAGAAGAUCUAUGACACUAAGACAAAACCAAAGAAGCCCUUCUCCUGGUAUAGAACCAAAGGACCAGACAACCCUAAAGCAAAGGGUAAAGUCGUUAUCUCCACUGGCAAGUCUGAAGAGCCAAGGGUAGUGGCUACCGGAUUAGAGCCUUCCACAGUAGGGAGAUCUUCAGCUGCCAUACCUCCUCUUUCAUCUGGGCCAUCCAUCACUAUGCCAUUAUAUGUUCCCUAUUCUUCCACUUACCCUCAGAUUGCACUACGGGUUUCUCAAACUUUAUCCAAUGGAUGCAAAUAGCUACAUCAAAGUUGUUUGUCUUAUCCAGCACAGUAGCAGUACAGUCAGCCCCAGUACAGUCCCAGGUACCUUCAUCAGUGGACGAGUCGUUGAAGAAGCUUCUAGACAACCAAAAGAAGCUUCUGGACAAUUAGAAAAAGAUCAUGGACACUUUGGAUAUUCAUGGAAGGGCUAUAAAGGAUCUGGGCAAGCAAGUCAAGAAGAUGAAGAAGACUCAGGCCUCAAAGGAGUCAGUGGAGCAGCUGAAGAAGGAUGUAGAGAGGUUCACUUCUGCUAGAGACAUCCCAUUGGACUUGCUCCGAGGAGCAAGUCACAUCAGCACAGGCAGCAGAGCAUGAAGCACCAGUAGCUGGCUAGUCUGAGGAGCCAACUGCCACUACACAUACUACUGCGGAGAUGAUCCUGAUGCUCCGCAACCCCGUGGUCCCCUAGUCAGAUUUGGAGAUCCAGUUAGAGGACCGGAGGGAGCUGCUGAUCUAUACAGUCCGAGGACCCUACUCAUGUGCCGGACCCGAUGCAGACCACAUAGGGAGUUUUCUUUACUCUCUAACCCUUUCCCUGAUUUUGUUUUGAUAUUAGCAUUGAGGACAAUGCUAUCUUUUAUUUGGGGGGGGGGGGGAGGGGCGAUCUAUUUUGAUUUGGUGAUAAUUGGAUAACAUUAAUAUGUAAUAACUAUGAGACUAUUUUUUUUCUUUUAUCUUUACUUCUCGUUAUUUUACUUUUAGUAUGUAUAUAUUCGUUACUUUCAUAUUUGGUUUGUAUAUAUUUUUACCAUUUGAUGUAUAUAUUCGCUUUCAUUUAUGUAAAUAUUCGCUUUACUUCACUUUUGUAUAUAUUCAGUUUGAUUUCCGUAGUUUACUUCAUAACUUCUUUCGUAAUUUUACUUCAUAGCUUCUUAUUUCCUUUAGUAGUUUCUUUUUAAGUUGUUAGCUUCUUUUUACAUUUUUGUGAACAAUAAGUCUUUGGUUUUCUUAAUGCCACGGUUCUUUCCAAAGGUGGAUGUUGUGUGAACCGGUGGCUCUUCCCGACGAUGGAUGGCGUGACAACCAUCUUAAGGGAUUGAGUGCGUUUUUAUUUUUGCUUUAAUAUGUAGUAGUAAUGAAUAGAAGUGUCUCAGACAAGCUUCACUUUGGCCUAGUACAUUUACCUUCGACCUUAUGGUUAGAAGCAAGUUGAUUUGCAAAGAAUAGUUCUAGUUGCGACCUUUAGACUGUUGUGUUGACUAAACAAUCAUCGAGUGGCUUCUUGGAGCCAUUUGUGAUGCUCAAUCUUAGCUAGAGGGCCCCCGACUCUGUUCUCUUUAGCAAUCCAACAGCUUUUGAGGUGAGGUAUUGAAUUGCAAGUCCAAGUCACGUGCCAAUAAGUCUAGAAUUUGCCCUGAAUGUUUGUCUAGGCGAAAUUCUAAGUGUAGCUCGACUUGAGAAAUGAUUAUAGGUUCUCCUUGAUCCAAUUUGAAACUUGAAAUCAUCCAUAGCUAUUUGAUACCCCUAGUCAACCCCGUUGAGCCGAAGCCCUUUUUCUUUCAAUAAUCAUGAUACAAGCCUUUAUCCGUUCUAUAAUGACCCUCUCUUGGCACCCAAUCUUUCCUUAGAAUAUUGGAAAAAGCAUAAAUUUAGGGGAGAGACGAGGAAUGUGAAAGUGAUAAAAGGUACAACAUGAAGAAAAGAGCAGGCAAAAGAAAAGAAAGAAAAGCCAAAAAGAAAGUGAAUAAGAUAGAAAAGUGAAGGGAUUCAAUGAAAGGCAUGGAAUGAUUAGAAAAUAAGAAAAAUGAUCAUCAUGAACAAGAAAGAGUGACAUUGUGUCUCUCUAGUUCCCCUAAUGAAGAAGAAAAUGACUCAAAGAGUCAAGAAAGUGUGAGUCGAAAUGAGAAAAUGAAGUGCUUAACGAAAGAUGAAACCUUCAUAGACCGAUAAAUCCUACCUUGAUCCAAAAGCCUUUAUUACAUUCCUGCAAAAGCCCUAUAUGAUUUCGACUUGAGUGAGCUUACAUUAGUGGUAAUUCACAUAAGGGGCAAGCUUAUGGUACUUAGAACCGGACUUGUGACAUUCCCUUGUGAGAGAUGAGUGUACUUCUUCACAAUCCUUGUCUUGAGUGCACCAAUUCUUAAGUGAGAUUUGCUUAUGAAAAGUAGAGGAGAAAGAGUUUGAGUUCCACAGCGACCUACGUAAUAGAGCGAGUUUCCUUGGCGAAUUCAGUCAACUCUUGAUGCUCUAGUGUUGCAUUAGAACUAUGGUACUCAAAAGAUUUUGUGUUGUUGAUAAUUCAUUUGUGUUGAGGGUAAUUGUUAGUCUCAAUUGAUGCUUGAUGAAGACACCUUCGGACAACUGAAAUUUUCCCCUCUUUUUCUUGUGGAUGUAGGAAUUACCUUGUUUGCUUGAGGACAAGCAAACGCUUAAGUUUGAGGAGUUGAUAAGUAGGGAUUUUAGCAUAUUAUUUGCUCUCUUUUACUUAGGUUAUGGGUCAAAAAUGCGCGGCCGCUAAAUUACUGGCGCAACCGCGAUUGGAAUUCCGCUGACAGUGUACUUAGUUUCAAAUACUGCAUGCUAUAGAAUAAAAGUAGAAGUAGAAAACAAACCAACCAUUUGUGGAAGUGCAAUUAAGAUAAAAACCCGUAUCUCUACUUAGAUAAACCUAACUCCAAAUAAAUUAACUCCCUGUGGAUUCGAUCCCGACCUUGUUGGGUAAAACUGCAUCGACCAUCCUCGCUACUCAAUAGUAGUGCAGGCUUGGACCCGAUCAUCUGCUGCACUCCUUCUUGCCUUAUGAGCCAUAACACUCCUUUUUGAGUUAGAUUUCUUCAUUAAGGUCCAAUUCUCCAAUAUUCUUACAAUUUGCACAAAUUUAUUGGUUUUGGGAAUAAAAAUCAAUACUUUCGGACUAAAACUAAAGCAAGAAGGUACUAAUAAGUGGUUAAAAUCCACACUUAUCAGUUGUUCACCUUCAUCUUGAGUGUGUCUAUUUUUUUAGUUUUAUAUUCUCUUGUACAUUACGAAAUGAAAUUGCCCGUUAUUUUCUUUAGGUACCACCUAUGAAAUUACUCAAUUAUUUUCUCAAAGUCCACCCAUAAAAUCAUUCAUUAUGAAACUUAUAAAAAGUGAAACUCCAAGAUAAUGUCUUGGAGUUAGAAACUUAUUCAAGUAAAAGCUUGAACUAUCUUAUUCUCGAAUUGAUAAAGGACCACGCUCCAUGAUUUUUUAUGGAGUUAAAUUGAUAAAGGUUCAAACUUCAUGAAUUUGUUCAAGUUUGAAUUUCACAUUUCAAACUUCAAGUAUCAUAUAAAAGUUUUGAACUGCAAGAUAUUAUGCUGGCCUUUCUUUAUCAAGAGAUAUUUUUUUGUCCAAAUUCUUAUUUAAAAGAGGCUAAAGCUAAACAAUCUUAAAAUUAUAGCUAAAUGUUGAUUAGUGAACUGAAAAUUGAUAUUUCUCCAUCUUUCUAACAAAGAAAUAUAAAGCCAAAUAAUCCAUCGGGAUAUUCUUGUCUAUACCAAUUCCCACCCUACUUACCAAGCGAUCCUUUAGAGCCUAAGUGAGGUCCUAAGAAUGGCUAUUUGUGGGGACUUUGGCAUGGUACGUACCUAUAUAAUUAGCAGAAAAAAGCCCUAUUUAUAAAUAUUUGCCACAUAGCCAAUAUAUACAUCAUACCAAUAAUGUGUAUAUCAAAAUAUAUAUCACAAUUUUAAUUUUCUUCUUUGUUAUAUUAAAAUUUUAUUUUCCUUCUUUUAUAUCUAAAAUAUAAAAUUAUAAAUAUAGUUGUUUAAAAUUCAUUAUUGUCGCUAUAUCAAUGUAUGUCACAAUAAAAAUAAUUACAUUAUAUGUAUAUCGAGUUAUAUAACAUAUCAAAUAAUGUGUAUACCAAAAUAUAUAUCAUAAGUUUAUUUUUCUUCGUUGUGUAUAUUAAAUUUUUCUUCUUUGUAUAUCAAAAUAUAUAUCAGAAUUUUAUUUUUUUCUUUGUAUAUCUCAAUAUAUAUCAAAAUUUUAUUUUUCUUCUUUGUAUAUCUCAAUGUAUGAUACAUAUUUCUUGUGGAUAUAUACAAAUAUAUAUGCUAGAGAUACAUAGAUAUACAAGAUUAAAAUCAAAACUAUUUUUUAAUUAAAAAAAGAUAUCAAACGAAAUACAAUACAGUUGCACUCGAUAGCCCAAAAGUUAGGUUUAACAAAGAGAUCUGUAAAUCAAAUCAGCAAAAGUGGUCUUUUCAAUCUCAAUUGUUUUCAGUUUUUUGGUUUUCUCACAACACGAGGGCUUGUGAAUAACCCAUUAGAAACCUUCAGUAAUUGGGAAAAUUUUGAAAAAGAUAAAGAAAAUGGAACGUGAUUUCUUGAAUGGACUAAACAAAGACUCAUAUAAUUUAACGAGUACAAACCUAAAUUGAUGAAAGAAGAAGAAUUUGUGGUCUGACCAUAUGUGUAAUGGAAUAUAUCUACACAAUGAGAGAGGAAUAAAUAGGGAAGUAAGUUUUUUGGGAAUUGGUUAUAAAAUGGUAAUUUUUUUGAGCUAUCUUUGCCAAACGUAAUCUAAGUCCAAAUAUUUGCCAAUUCCUUAUUAUAUGUCGUCACCCAAUAUCAAUUUCUCCUAUUUGUGCACUUCCCCAAAAGAGUCGCUAGCUAUCGACAUUGAGCCCAAUUGUGAGAAAAGAAACAUAGAGCCCAAUAGACUCAGAGGCCCAAACGCACUGUCUCUCUCACAGCCACUCACCAUUUUCCCUUUUCACUCUCAAAUCUUCUCCUCUCACCUAGGGUUCCAUUACUCUAUACACCCAGAGAACCCCUCCAUACUCUACAUCUACACCUACACAGAUUAUCGAAACCUCCCUAUAACUCCACAAAACUCUCCAAAUUCGGCGGAAUUCACACUAUGCCGCGGCAACGGGACUACGACGAUGACGACGUGGAACCGGAGGAGGAAGAGGAAGACGUGUACGAAGAGGAGGACGAAGAGGAGGAAGAAGAAGAUGAUCAUAGAGGAAAGUCUGGACGCAAACGGCGUAGAUCGGAUUUUAUUGAUGACGUAGCGGAGGAAGAUGAUGAUGAAGAAGAAGACGAUGAUGAUGAGGAUUAUGGCGGCGGCGGCGGCGGCGGUAGACGACGCCCUAAAAGGAGGACUGGUUCAGAAUUUUUUGAUCUCGAAGCUGCUGUAGAUAGUGAUGAGGACGAGGAGGAGGAAGAAGGCGAAGACGGUUAGACUUACUACCUAUUCAGUUUUAUUUUGGUCGUUAAUUUGUUUUAUUCUGUUCAUUUACUAAUUUGCCUGCAUCGAAGAAUGAAGAGUUCUCAUAAAUAUGUAUUGAAAAUAGUGUUUUGUUGAAAUUUGUGGAUGAGCAGAUGAAGUAGGAUUGGGAGGAUAGGUAGAGAGAGCUCUGCUUUGAUAUUUAGGGCUCCUUUGAACAUUUAUUUGAAGUUUAAGUUGGAAAAUAUCAUUUGAAAUUGAAACCGAAAAAAGUUUGUGGAAGUUAAAGUUGUGUUUGGAUUGUUAUAGUUUUUUCGGUGGAAGAAGAUGAUUUGAGAAACUUAUGACACAACUUCAAGUUGAAAAAAUAAAAUUUCUCAAAGUUCAAAGUUCAAAUUCAUUCUUGAUUUCACAAAGCUUCAGCCUCUUCAAUAGAGACUACAAAACGCCACCUCCUUUUUUUUUGAUAAGGUAAAUAAUUUUAUUGAAUGAAAAAAGGGGAUAACCGCAUACAAAAGCCACCACCUUAAUGAGAUUAUAUAUUGUUUUGGUGAUAUGAAAACGUGGAGCGCUUGUAUAUACCAUAGGCGAGUAUAUGUGAUGAAUAAUCAUAGGCGUGAGAAAAAGUAUGUAGUAUAACCUAUAGUUGAUGUGGCAAUAGAGAGAGUUGCUGAUGUUUUUUCAAGGGAAGUUAGAUGUGGCAAGAGUUGGUGUAUGGCAAGUUGAAGAGGUUUCACUUGCCCAGGACUGGUGCUGUAAUAUAAAAUUUUGGGCUUGUAGUUUUGUUCAAGCAUUGAUGUAUAUAAUGGGCUAACCAACAAAAUACAAGAUGAG